rnacentral:lncRNA from 1 species
AAGGUGGCCAUAAGCGUCAGACUGAGCCAUCCUGGACCAGCAAGGACUCUAAGCCCCCAGGGAAAAAUCAGGAAUGAGAUGCUUGUGAAUGUUUGGACUCCAGGGUCAAGGCUCACCCAGGAAGGAAAGGUUCCAGAGAGAAUCCUCAAUGAUGGUAUUCCAGGGGGUGCUGGCAGAGACAGGGUGGAUCCAGGCAAGCCAUGUCAGACUGCUGGGCUCUGUUCCUGGUGCACUGUCACUAGGCUGGUACAAGUCAGAGAUGGAGCCAGGCAGGGUGUCAGCCUGGGGUAUCCACAACCGGAGGGAGCCUCCUAGAGGCAAGCAGGUGACAACUGAAUAGGAAGGAUGACCCAAUAUUGGUUGGGGGAGCAAAUAUGGGUGGAGGCAGAAGAUCCCCCCGCCAUGCCUCCAAAAAAGGAAACUAGGUGUGAAGGGUAGUUAGUCCCUCUGAGUAUGAACCGACGCUGGUAUGAAGGAUCAAGCUGAAAUUCUGCUCUUAGGCUACCUGCAACCUCC